CAGAAGAGAACAUGUUAGGUUUUUAUUGCUUGUUCUACUUUUGGGGAUUGGCUGUGGAGGAAGAAAGUAAACCCUGAUUAUCACGAGGGCAACUUUAGUAUCAGUGGACAGAUAAGGAGAAAGCAGCAUGUUGGCCCCUUUUGCCCCACAGGAAUGACGUUGCCUUGCCUUUCACUGAAAUCUGAGAUCUGAACCUGGAAGGAAGCGCUCAGUUUAGAAAUUGCCGUGAAUUUUUCAGGAAGGUGUAGAAGACUUCAAAGUUAAUUUUGAAAUCUGCUGAUCCAUUUGGAAUUUGCAACCAAACUCAGUUCUCAUUUCUACUUGUCUAGUUCCCAAGCUAUUUUACAACUGCUAUUUCACCAGUAUGAACAACAGCUGACCCACAAUAUCUAGAUCGGGCAGAUGCAUAGAACUAGGAGAGGUGGUAAAACUGGAAGGACAUUAAUAAUAUUUCUAGCCACGUUCAUAUAAGCACGGAUGUUUGGACUCGAUGAUCUCUUGAGGUUCCUUCCAAUUCCUGUGAUUCUGUGAUCUCUCUCUAGAAAAACAAACCAAACCCAUCAAACACAUGCAUUGAACUCCAGAUGAGCUAAGAAUGGUGACUGUUCUCAAGAGGCCACGUGUUUACAAGAAUCUAGGGAUACAGAAGAGGCUGUAGCCAAUUCCAUGACAAGCCCUCAGGCAGAAAAGCAGUGCUCCCCAAUACUCGCAUUCAGUGUUUUUUGCAUUCCAAAGAACUAAUGGUCUUUCACACGCAUCUUAAAUCUCCAUCUGGGAAAUGCAGGACUAAUUUCAAACUCUUCUUGCUUCUGCACUGAAGGGUAUUUUGUUCACCUCUCACCUUACACCUCAAAAGGUAUAUAAUUGCCUAUAAUUGCCAGAGAAAAGGUGUAUAAUAAUGCAUGAGCAACUUGAUACUCCUACUGGCAUUCUAGAUAAAGAUUAGGGUUAUCAAAAUUGCUUACUUUACAAUGCAGAGUUUAUUUUCUGCUCUCAGCAGUUUAUCGGAAUUUUUAUUACUGCAACGCUGAGAACCUGCUUUCCCAGUACAAGCUCCAGAAGAAAUAAAGAAGAACCACUUAAAGAGGAGAUCACACGGACAAAGGAACUUGAAAUUACACUGAUCACAUGCAUAUUCUUCUCAUUUUGUCUUCUGGAAGAAUUCAAUUUACUCCUUUCAGUUCAGACAAACGUCAGAGAAAAGAUGAAAGGCAUGAAGACAAACAGCAUCAGCACAGCUCAUUCACUGGUUAACACUCUCACCAGGUGCAUCAGUAUCAAGCAGGAUACUCACAAGGAGACAGGCAGAACAGAUUGCUCAGCAUUUGCAGCAGUGGAGAGAAUAAAAGCAUCUGAUGAAAUACUGUGUUGUAGGAACAGAAUAACACAGAAGAGCUAGAUCAGCACUUCACUGCAGAAGUACUCACAUGUCCUGCUGCCCUAGAACCUGCAGUCAUCAUGCUACAGGGAUUUUCCUGUAUAUAUUAUCACCAGAUUAAAUGGACAACAUGCUCUUUAUAGUGUCAGUGAGAAAAGAGUACAAAGUAAAGCAGCAACUCUUAUUCAUAGACAGGAACACAGGAAAUGCAGAGCAGAGAGUGCGCAUACAGAUACGUACCAGAGAAGGAGCUGAACAAGGCAGGAACAAGUGGAUCCAUCCAAGCAGUUUGGUAAGACUUGGACACUGAAUAGAAGAUGAACAAAGGACAACUGAGAAGUGCUACCAAGGCUAAGAUCUAAGCCCAGAAAUUUGGCAAUACAGCAAAGUACACAAAAAGUAUGCUGUGCAGGCAAACUCUGUGCUAAGUUAAUGCAUGAAUGCAUACAACAAUAAGAAGAUGACAAAAACAGAUUUCACAAGGGACAACAAAACAAAGCACCUACACAAGUUUCAGAAAUGCAUAUCCACCACUGUUAGCUAUCUAAGGCUUAUAAUUCAACACACUGCAACUAUAAAAAUGCUAGGACUAUUCUUAUCGCUGCUUUCACUCAAAGACAGUUAACACAAUGUCACAGUAUCAAAGUGUUCACUACAAAUAACAAAAAUAUCCGUAAAUUUAUAUUAAUCAACACAAUGCUUUAACAAAGACAAAAAAGUACAAACAGUACAAAUUAUGGUGGAUUUUUAAGAUAAGUCUCCAUUAGAAUAUGGCAGAAUAUGUCAAAAAUAGAACUACCUAAGCUGUCAAUGUUUGACUACAAUAAAAAUCAUGAAAAACUGUAACAGACUACCAGACACUAUAACCUUUAGCAGGGCAAAAAAACUGGAAGGUAUUCUCUUCCAAACUACGAAACAGAAAGCAAACCUUUUAAUACGUGCAAAGGAACAUUUUUCCCUUCUCUUCCACUCACAAAUAGAAUAGAAUAGUAGCUGUACCGUUGUAAACUUCUUAAGACUCAAGAAUGUACGGUAGGGCCCAUGUCCCAAAUCAUCAAAAAGUACCCGCAAGGUGUGCAGGCCUACUAAGAUCAAAAGUUCUUGCUGUGGCAAAAAAAAAAGAGAUAAAUCUCACUGGAAGGAAAUUGGAGGUCAAAUAUACAUAUUUAACUGUGAAAGAUGUUCUGGAAUUUUUAGUGCCCCAUCCCUGCAGGCAUUCAAGGCCAGGCUGGAUGUGGCUCUGGGCAGCCUGGUCUGGUGGUUGGCGA